rnacentral:rRNA from 1 species
CAAUAGCGUAUAUUAAAGCUGUUGCGGUUAAAAAGCUCGUAGUUGGAUUUCUGUCAAGGACAACUGGUCCGCCCUCCGGGUGAGCACAUAGUUUGGUCUUGACAUCUUGCUGGAAGCUGUUGCUGCACUUGGCUGUGUGGCGCAGUGUUCAGCACUUUCACUUUGAGGAAAUUGGAGUGUUUCAAGCAGGCACAUGCCUUUGGACACAGUAGCAUGGAAUAAUUAGAUUGGGCUUUUGCUCCAAUUUGUCGGUUUCUGGAGCUGAGGUGAGUAUUAAUGGGGAUUGUUGGGGGCAUCCGAAUUUAGCCGUCAGAGGUGAGAUUCUUGGAUCUGCUAAAGACGGACAACUGCGAAAGCGUUUGCCCAGGAUGUUUUCAUUGA